UACAGAGGUCUCAAGCGUUGUUCGGAUUCAUUGGGCGUAAAGAGCGUGUAGGCGGCCAGGUAGGUCUGGUGUGAAAACUCGAGGCUUAACCUCGAGAUGUCAUCGGAAACCAUCUGGCUAGAGUCCGGAAGAGGAGAGUGGAAUUCCUGGUGUAGCGGUGAAAUGCGCAGAUAUCUGGAGGAACACCGGUGGCGAAGGCGGCAUCCUGGACCAACACUGACGCUGAGUGAGCGAAAGCCAGGGGAGCAAACGGG
rnacentral:rRNA from 1 species